AGUUUGAAGGAAGAAAGACUUCCAAAAGAAUCAACCAAGUCUACUGAGGCACAGUUUGACUCAAAAGGAUCCAACUGCUUAGCAAAUGGAAAAUAACACUGUGGAGCAUUGACUGCAUUUGAAUACACCAGAAACUAAAAUACCACACUAUCCAGUUCAAUACAGGACACCUGGCAACCCCAUUUCAGACAACCAGAUACAAGCCAACCAAAGCUGCCUUCAAAGGGAAGACACCUAGGGAGGGAAGAUGAUGCUGAUUAAGAAAUAGCCUUGAAGGAUGGCAAAGUGGUUCAAAUGGUAGAGUGCUUGCCUAGCAAGUAUGAAGCUUGGGGUUCAAACCCUAGCACCACCGUCACCAAGAAGAAACAACCUCAACGAGGGUCAAGCUUGCUCUGAGGCUAGGAGGUGAGAGCUGGUGUGGGGAAUACAUUAAAAAUGCUUUAAAACUUGCUACUUUGAGUUUGGGGAUUUGAAUUUACUGUCUUUUAAAACUUUACAAAGUGAGAAAGAUGUCAGUUUUUCUGGACUGUGGAAAUGAGAGCCUUAUCUAGAAUCAUAACUUAAUGCUUUUUCUCUCUCAAUUUAGUGGCUAGAUCGAUUAACCACACAUAUUUUUCUUAAUCCUUAUCAUUUAUUACACAAUUGAUUUUCCCCAAAAGAGCCAAUUUCCAGUCUCUUAAAAAGCACCCUUGGAAUGCUGUCCACAUUCACUAUUAAAAUAGCGUUGCUACUGGAGGAGGGAUGAGGGGCUCCCACAGCGUUCCAGUAUCCACGCAAAAUCACAGGUCCUUGAGGUUCACCUGGCAAACUCUUCUUCAGGUUUGACUUUCGCGAUGUCGUGGCUCAGUAUUCGCUAAGCUAGUUCCGGACUGUUCUUGUACCUUUUGGACGUACCGUACUGCGGACUUGUUCUGUGCAACUGAAAAUAUCCUAAUGCGUUGUGCAUGUUUAAAUUUCAAUUUCUGGACAGUUUCAGUCCGGCGGGUUUAUCGACAAGGUAACAAGUGAGGGGCAAAGCAAACGCAGCAACUGGUGCGCGCGCGCCCUCUGCCGGCCGUCCACGCGCACGGGCGCCGGCAUGGCCCUGGCACCUCUUGGUCUGGAUGUGCGCGAGCAAAACUUGCGCUUUGCCUUCCUUUCCGCCCGUUCCAAUAGAUCAAGCAAUGGGCUUUUAGCGCUUUUAGGAGAUAAUGCACAGUGCUUCGGCCUGGACAAAGACAAAGACAAAUGAAAGCGUCCCAGCCAUAAAGGAUCUCACAGAAUAAUGGGGCAUGCAUCAGAGCGUCCGGAUGCCACUUGAGAGGUUAACACUGAUCCUGCCCCCUCAAGUCCCCACUAGUUUACCACCCCAAGUUUACGAAGAGCCCCAGUCACACAGCACAGCACACUGAUCUUUUGUUAGGACUGGUGACUCAUUCGAGCAUUUUCUCUGUGCACGGCCAGUGGGUGCUACCUUGGAGACCGGGGGAGCCUGAGGAGGAAGACACCAGGGGCUAUGGAGAAAGCUCAAUUUCACCGGGAAAAGACGGAAAUUAAGAACAGGGGAAGAGGGUAUCGAUUCGUUUUGAUGUUCAAUUAAUAAGUGCAUUUAAAACAUACUACCAAGACUUCUGGAACUUUUUCUAACAAAGUUCUAGCUUAUUUUCCCACUAGAUCUUGUUGGAUUUUUUAAAAAUCCGGUCAUGUUUUUCAAACUAGGCCAGGAGGUCCCCUCGAUUUCUAAAGUGAAAAAAGUUUGCUCCUUUUCUGAAAUUUUCUCAGGUUCUGGAAAUACACAGCUUUUACUUAACUCUGUUUCCUCCAGCAAUGAUUCCUUUUUAUUUUAGAGAAAAUUCUGCUGGUAACAUGCCCAGUAUACUAGCUGGGAGGAAAAAUAACUUGGAAAAGAAAAGCAUGUUUUUCUUAAUUUCUUUUCAAAACACUAGAGGGGACAAAAUAAAGAAAGUAGAGAAAUAAAUUACCCAAUGCAAUCAUCAUUCUGGACCAUAGCCUAAAGGAAUAUCCAUCUUAACAUCAGAAGGUGGAGGUAAUUACCAAUAAGGGCAUCUGAUGAAUCCCCUCUAAAAUGGUUCUUAUGAAGAGGGCAGUUCAGAAAAUCUAUGCAAAACAAAAGGAGGGAGGAAGGGAGGGAGGGAAGGAAAAACAAAAGCCUCAUGAGAGUAGAGAAGGCAAAAGACAAGAAGAAAGGAGAAUGCUGGGGGAAAGAGAACUGGGAAUCAAAAAUGGACAGUCAUGAGGCAGGUGUUUGCACAAUCCUGAGAAUCUUAAAUUUCCAACUCAAAUUUAGGAAAUACUUAUUUUUGAAAAAGGCAGGCAAUGCAGAAGUGCAUAAGCUAAAAAAGUACAAGCACACUUUUAAAGCCCACACACAACACAUACCCACCACAUA